CGGCCUUUCAAGGAAGCCGCAUCAGUCUGUGUUGUGUGCUCCACGUUCCGGAAGCAAAUUACUCAUCCCAUUUUACUUCAGCGCACUCAAAUCUUACUCAUGACUUUGAGCUUUAGAAUAAUUAGCGGCCUAAUUUGGAGGUGCAUGAGUGUGCAGGAUGUGUGACCCGCCCCCGGUGUGUCAGACCCCGAGCUGUUCUCUCCUGGCUGGGAGGACGGCCUGGGCUCCUGCCCCCUGCUCCAGGAAGGCCUGGAGGUGAGCUGCUGCAGAAUGGUGACUGUGACCUCAGCCUGUCCCCGGUGGCAAGCCCAUUAAAAAAAAAAAAAUUUUUUUUUUCUUUAAUUGAAGACGUUAUAUAGGCACGUGGUUAAAAAAAGUUUUUCAAGCACUGCAAAAAGGAAGACACGUUUUCUCCCUCCCGAGACCUUUCUGUGCGUGUUCCUGACCGAAACUUCCCAUCACUAAGCUCUUCCAUAGAACACGCCCGAAUUCCCCGCUCCUCCAGAAGUCCCGUGAAUUUCAUUAUUUUCUCACUGUCUUAUUUUUAUUUCUUGGCCAUUUUAGAUUGUGUUUCUGGGCGUUCUGAGUUUCACCUUUUACAGCCGCGUGUUUUAGGGGGUUCCCCCUUACGGCAGGAAAUGCGCUGGGGAGCAGCUCUGUUGAAGCAAGCGAGACAAGGGCAGCCCUGGAGGCCGCUGACACCAGCGGUUCCGUGUGGCUCAGCAUGGCCUGAGAUUGGGGGCUGGACAGAGAACCUGAAGAGAAUGGAGCAGGGCAUAAGAGAGAAGAGGAUUAGAAGAGUUGCAGGGAGGACGCUUGGUCAGUUUUUCUUCUACAUAACAGAAGCCUCCUUCUAUGUUACAACGAAUAGUUCUUCCUCUUUUGGAAAAUCUCAUGGGACUGGUGAACUGUGACCAUGGACUCCUCUCCAUAAAAGCACUCAAGAUGCCCUGGAUCUAAGUGUACCCUUUGCAAGAGAGAAC
rnacentral:lncRNA from 1 species